rnacentral:rRNA from 1 species
GGAAUCUUCGGCAAUGGGGGCAACCCUGACCGAGCAACGCCGCGUGAGUGAAGAAGGUUUUCGGAUCGUAAAGCUCUGUUGUAAGAGAAGAACGUGUGUGAGAGUGGAAAGUUCACACAGUGACGGUAACUUACCAGAAAGGGACGGCUAACUACGUGCCNG